GUGCCGUGAUAAGGGAACUUUCAUAAUAACUCCUUUAACCGCUCUCAUGCCUCAUAUAAAGAUUCUUCAUCAAGUUGCUAAAAUAAAGUGAUUUCAUUUCAGAUCUU
rfam:Gossypium hirsutum cultivar TM-1 chromosome 20, whole genome shotgun sequence